rnacentral:miRNA from 13 species
UCCUGGGCACAGUGAUGGUCAUGCACAGUUCUGGGAGAUGUUAUCACGUGCUAUCUCAUUCGGUGAUAUCGUCACCCAGCACCGCACAUGUCCAUCAAGAGCCGCGGA